AAAUCAACAUAAGCGGAGGAAAAGAAACCAACAGGGAUUGCCCUAGUAACGGCGAGUGAAGCGGCAACAGCUCAAAUUUGAAAUCUGGCCCUCGGGUCCGAGUUGUAAUUUGUAGAGGAUGCUUUUGGCGCGGUGCCUUCCGAGUUCCCUGGAACGGGACGCCAUAGAGGGUGAGAGCCCCGUCUGGUUGGACACCAAGCCUCUGUAAAGCUCCUUCGACGAGUCGAGUAGUUUGGGAAUGCUGCUCUAAAUGGGAGGUAUAUGUCUUCUAAAGCUAAAUACCGGCCAGAGACCGAUAGCGCACAAGUAGAGUGAUCGAAAGAUGAAAAGCACUUUGAAAAGAGAGUUAAAUAGCACGUGAAAUUGUUGAAAGGGAAGCGCUUAUGACCAGACUUGGGCUUGGUUGAUCAUCCCGCGUUCUCGCGGGUGCACUCUUCCGGCUCAGGCCAGCAUCAGUUCGUCGCGGGGGAUAAAGGCGUCGGGAACGUGGCUCCCUCGGGAGUGUUAUAGCCCUUCGUGCAAUACCCUGCUUCGGACUGAGGACCGCGCUUCGGCAAGGAUGCUGGCGUAAUGGUCAUCAGCGACCCGUCUUGAAACACGGACCAAGGAGUCGUCUUCGUAUGCGAGUGUUCGGGUGUCAAACCCCUACGCGUAAUGAAAGUGAACGCAGGUGAGAGCUUCGGCGCAUCAUCGACCGAUCCUGAUGUUCUCGGAUGGAUUUGAGUAAGAGCAUACGGGGCCGGACCCGAAAGAAGGUGAACUAUGCCUGUAUAGGGUGAAGCCAGAGGAAACUCUGGUGGAGGCUCGCAGCGGUUCUGACGUGCAAAUCGAUCGUCAAAUAUGGGCAUGGGGGCGAAAGACUAAUCGAACCUUCUAGUAGCUGGUUUCGC
rnacentral:rRNA from 1 species